rnacentral:rRNA from 1 species
GACGAACGCUGGCGGCGUGCUUAACACAUGCAAGUCGAACGGAAAGGCCCUGCUUUUGUGGGGUGCUCGAGUGGCGAACGGGUGAGUAACACGUGAGUAACCUGCCCUUGACUUUGGGAUAACUUCGGGAAACUGGGGCUAAUACCGGAUAGGAGCUCCUGCUGCAUGGUGGGGGUUGGAAAGUUUCGGCGGUUGGGGAUGGACUCGCGGCUUAUCAGCUUGUUGGUGGGGUAGUGGCUUACCAAGGCUUUGACGGGUAGCCGGCCUGAGAGGGUGACCGGCCACAUUGGGACUGAGGUAGGGCCCAGACGGCUACGGGAGGCAGUAGUGGGGGAUAUUGCACAAUGGGCGGACGCCUGAGGCAGCAACGCCGCGUGCGGGAUGACGGCCUUCGGGUUGUAAACCGCUUUCGCCUGUGACGAAGAGUGAGUGACGGUAAUGGGUCAAGAAGCACCGGCUAACUACGUG